ACUCAAAGGAAUAGACGGGGACCCGCACAAGCGGUGGAUGAUGUGGAUUAAUUCGAUGCAACGCGAAAAACCUUACCUACCCUUGACAUGUCCAGGAGCCUGAAGAGAUUUGGGUGUGCCCGAAAGGGAACUGGAACACAGGUGCUGCAUGGCUGUCGUCAGCUCGUGUCGUGAGAUGUUGGGUUAAGUCCCGCAACGAGCGCAACCCUUGUCGUUAAUUGCCAUCAUUUAGUUGGGCACUUUAACGAGACUGCCGGUGACAAACCGGAGGAAGGUGGGGAUGACGUCAAGUCCUCAUGGCCCUUAUGGGUAGGGCUUCACACGUCAUACAAUGGUCGGUACAAAGGGUUGCCAAGCCGCGAGGUGGAGCCAAUCCCAGAAAGCCGAUCGUAGUCCGGAUCGCAGGCUGCAACUCGCCUGCGUGAAGUCGGAAUCGCUAGUAAUCGUGGAUCAGCAUGUCACGGUGAAUACGUUCCCGGGUCUUGUACACACCGCCCGU
rnacentral:rRNA from 1 species